UGUCUAUAUUGGGAGAAGGGGAAAGAAUCAGAGGGUGCUGCUACCCUCCCUACUCCAAUACCCCUACAGCCUUCAAACCCUUUGGGGGAAGAGAAUUUAGGAAGAAAGAGGUGACUCAGAAUUUUCUCAGAAACCAGAGUGGGAGCCCAGCUGGGCUGCAGGAAGUGUGGGGUCUGAGUGAAAGAAACCUCACAUUCCUUUCUCUGUUUGGCUGUGAGCUUCCCCCUGCCUACUGUUGCUGGGCUAGUUCCCCCCCCCUUUUUUUUUUUUCACUUUCUCUGGUUCAGCUGAUAUCAAUUCAGAUCCUGGUACUGAAAGGCCUCUACAUAGAUAAGAUUAAGGUCCUGCACUUAUCUUCAAAGAAUUUUCGAGAAGGAAAGAAUUUCAGGAGGUUAAAAAAAAAAUGUACCUAAAUAACAAUACAAGGCAAUAACAUGUGCCUAGGAGACGGGCCACUGCAGCUAAUAGUCCCGUCAUUUCUCACCUGAAUUACUGAACGGCCCUGUAACUGGCCCUGCCUCACCCUGCCUCCAGGCUUUCCUCUUCUUCCACUCCCCAUCUAGUCUCCACACAAUAGCCGGUGAUGGAUCUAAACGCAAAUCCGAUUGGGUCCCACCCCUACUUAAAAGCCAUCCUUGUUGGCUCCCCCACAUCUUCCAAGAUGAAACCAAAGCUCCUAACAUGGUACCCUAGCCUUUUGUAGUCUGACCUCUUCUAAUCCACGAAGCCAUUCCCACUCCAACACUCACGCUCCAACAGGAGUGAAGCAUUUGUGAUGUCCAGAUACUACCGGCUCUCUGGCCUCAGGGCCUUUGCACAGGCAGCUCUAUCUGCCUGGAAUGCUUUUCCUCUUACUGGCCACUUGGCUAACUCCAAUUUGCCUUUGGGGAUUCAGCACAGAAAUAACUUCCACCUCCCAGGAACCCUUCCCUGAUACUGAGUUAAGCACCCCUCAUCAAUAUCCCCUUAUCACCACAGUAUGAAGUCUGAAUUAUAAUGAGGUUUUCAUCCCUCUCCCUUGUAAACAUCAAGUUCCUUACUCAUCUUUGUACCUAGAGCCCCGCACAGAGUAGACACUAAAUGACAGUUGGAUGAAAGGCUGCCCAGCAGGCAGAGGAGCUCAUAGAGAAUAUGGGAAGUCAUUAGAGGCUUUUGAGUCAGAGGCUGAUAAUAUCCGAAAACUAUAUUGUAAGCUGAGUAAUCCAUUAGUUAUUCAGUAGUGCUGGGAGGAGGGAGGUUGAGGGAGCCGGGAGAACGACUGAAGUAGUAAGGGCUGGAAGUUGAGAAUGACAAAGACUACAGUGGGGACUGGAAAGGGGAUGGAAAUGAGCUUCACGGUGGAGGUAGGGCUAGAAGCUUGAGCAAGACGUUUGGAUGUGUUUAAGAGGGGGAUGCGGGAUGAGGUGAGGCCAAGGUCUGCAGCCCUGGUGCCGGAGAAGGAACUCGAAUAGAGGAAGCAGACCAAAGUCAUGAGAAGGCACUGGAUGCAGAGUUUCUUUAUGCUGUCAGCUUUAAGGAUCAUCCCUAAACUCGGCUAUGCUCCCCCUGGAGAGCAGCAUAUGAAAAGGCCCAGAAGCCUGCAGCUAGUCCCACGUGGCAGGAGGCAGUGUAUGAGGAAAGGAACGGCCAGAGGGAGCCAGGCUUGAGUGACCUCAAGGUGAGAAGUUCAAGCUGGAUACCACCUGACCCCCUGCCACCACCACCCCCAUCAGUGGAAAUAACUGCUUUUUACUUGAUGUGUCAUGCAGAUCACCUGGGGAUCUUGUUAACUGCAGAUCCAGGAGGGCUGGGGUGGGGCCUGAGAUUUUGCAUUUCUGGUAGACUCCCAAAUGACCCAUGCUGCGGGUCCAAGGACCAUACUUUGAGGAGCAAGGGGCUAGAUCACACUCACCUAUGGUCAGAUUUUCUGGGGGGGUUCUGUGUUGUUUAUGCAUCUCAUCUGGAAUGUAACCCAACUUGAGGGCCAGGAUCCAGUCGUUUGCAUCUUUGUAUUCCCUACUGAUGAGUUCCUUCUGGGUGUUCCUGUAAAUACUUAAUUGAUGGAACCCAGGGCUGAGUUGUUUAUAUCUUCCGGCUUUGCCUUACAAACACUAAUUUAUCUUCAAAUCACAAUCCUGAGGCAAGGGGAUACUUUUUUUUUUUUUUUUU